rnacentral:rRNA from 1 species
GAUGAACGCUGGCGGCGUGCCUAAUACAUGCAAGUCGAGCGAACAGACGAGGAGCUUGCUCCUCUGACGUUAGCGGCGGACGGGUGAGUCACACGUGGAUCACCUCCCUAUAAGACUGGGAUAACUUCGGGAAACCGGAGCUAAUACCGGAUAAUAUAUUGAACCGCAUGGUUCAAUAGUGAAAGACGGUUUUGCUGUCACUUAUAGAUGGAUCCGCGCCGCAUUAGCUAGUUGGUAAGGUAACGGCGUACCAAGGCAACGAUGGGUAGCAGACAUGGGAGGGUGAACGGCAACAUUGGGAGGGAGAGAAGGGGCAGACUGGUACGGGAGGCAGGAGUGGGGAAUAUUGUAAAAUGGGCGGAAGCUGAAGGCAGGAAAGAAGAGUGCGGGAUGCAGGCCUUCGGGUUGUAAAAGGAUUUCGACUGUGACGAAGCGGGAGUGGCGGGAAUGGGUAAAGAAGAACCGGAUAACUACGUG